rnacentral:sRNA from 1 species
AUUACUUAGGCUUUUAAGAUCAGGUUGCGGUUUUAGUUCUUAUACUCAAUCAUACACAUGACAUCAAGUCAUAUUCGACUCCAAAACAGUAACCAACCUUCUUCUUGCUUCUCGAAGCUUUCAUGGUGUAGCCAAAGUCUGUAUGAGUCUUUGGCUUUGUGUCUUCUACUAGGAUACAAUUCUUACGCCUUUAAGAUCGGGUUGCGGUUUAAGUUCUUAUACUCAAUCAUACAAAUGACAUCAAGUCAUAUUCGACUCCAAACCACUAACCAAACUUCUUCUUGCUUCUCAAAGUUUUCAUGGUGUAGCCAAAGUCUGUAUGAGUCUUUGGCUUUGUGUCUUCUAACAAGGAUACAAUUCUUACGCCUUUAAGAUCCAGUUGCGGUUUAAGUUCUUAUACUCAAUCAUACACAUGACAUCAAGUUAUAUUCGACUCCAAAACACUAACCAAGCUUCUUCUAGCUUCUCAAAGCUUUCAUGGUGUAGCCAAAGUCCGUAUGAUUCUUUGGCUUUGUAUCUUCUAACAAGGAAACACUACUUAGGCUUAUAAGAUCGGGUUGCGGUUUAAGUUCUUAUACUCAAUCAUACACAUGACAUCAAGUCAUAUUCGACUCCAAAACACUAACCAAGCUUCUCAAAGCUUUCAUGGUGUAGCCAAAGUCCGUAUGAGUCUUUGGCUUUGUAUCUUCUAACAAGGAACCAUUACUUAGGCUUUUAAGAUCAGGUUGCGGUUUUAGUUCUAAUACUCAAUCAUACACAUGACAUCAAGUCAUAUUCGACUCCAAAACAGUAACCAACCUUCUUCUUGCUUCUCAAAGCGUUCAUGGUGUAGCCAAAGUCUGUAUGAGUCUUUGGCUUUGUGUCUUCUACAAGGAUACAAUUCUUACGCCUUUAAGAUCGGGUUGCGGUUUAAGUUCUUAUACUCAAUCAUACAAAUGACAUCAAGUCAUAUUCGACUCCAAACCACUAACCAACCUUCUUCUUGCUUCUCAAAGUUUUCAUGGUGUAGCCAAAGUCCGUAUGAGUCUUUGGCUUUGUGUCUUCUAACAAGGAUACAAUUCUUACGCCUUUAAGAUCCAGUUGCGGAUUAAGUUCUUAUACUCAAUCAUACACAUGGCAUCAAGUUAUAUUCGACUCCAAAACACUAACCAAGCUUCUUCUAGCUUCUCAAAGCUUUCAUGGUGUAGCCAAAGUCCGUAUGAUUCUUUGGCUUUGUAUCUUCUAACAAGGAAACACUACUUAGGCUUAUAAGAUCGGGUUGCGGUUUAAGUUCUUAUACUCAAUCAUACACAUGACAUCAAGUCAUAUUCGACUCCAGAACACUAACCAACCUUCUUCUUGCUUCUCAAAGCUUUCAUGGUGUAGGCAAAGUCCGUAUGAGUCUUUGGUUUUGUUGUUCUAAUAAGGAUACAAUUUUUACGCCUUCAAGUUCAGGUUGCGGUUUCAGUUCUUAUACUCAAUCAUACACAUGACAUCAAGUCAUAUUCGACUCCAAAACAUUAACCAACCUUCUUCUUGCUUCUUAAGGCUUUCAUGGUGUAGGCAAAGUCCGUAUGAGUCUUUGGCUUUGUGUCUUCUAACAAGGAUACUAUUCUUACGCCUAUAAGAUCCAGUUGCGGUUUAAGUUCUUAUACUCAAUCAUACACAUGACAUCAAGUCAUAUUCGACUCCAAAACACUAAAAAAUCUUCUUCUAGCUUCUCAAAGCUUUCAUGGUGUAGCCAAAGUCCGUAUGAUUCUUUGGCUUUGAUCUUCUAACAAGGAAACACUUCUUAGGCUUAUAAGAUCGGGUUGCGGUUUAAGUUCUUAUACUCAAUCAUACACAUGACAUCAAGUCAUAAUCGAUUGCAAAACACUAACCAACCUUCUUCUUGCGCCUCAAA